rnacentral:rRNA from 1 species
GAUGAACGCUGGCGGCGUGCUUAACACAUGCAAGUCGAACGAAGCACUUUAUUUGAUUUCCUUCGGGACUGAUUAUUUUGUGACUGAGUGGCGGACGGGUGAGUAACGCGUGGGUAACCUGCCUUGUACAGGGGGAUAACAGUUGGAAACGGCUGCUAAUACCGCAUAAGCGCACAGCAUCGCAUGAUGCAGUGUGAAAAACUCCGGUGGUAUAAGAUGGACCCGCGUUGGAUUAGCUAGUUGGUGAGGUAACGGCCCACCAAGGCGACGAUCCAUAGCCGACCUGAGAGGGUGACCGGCCACAUUGGGACUGAGACACGGCCCAAACUCCUACGGGAGGCAGCAGUGGGAAAUAUUGCACAAUGGGCGAAAGCCUGAUGCAGCGACGCCGCGUGAGCGAAGAAGUAUUUCGGUAUGUAAAGCUCUAUCAGCAGGGAAGAUAAUGACGGUACCUGACUAAGAAGCACCGGCUAAAUACG